rnacentral:rRNA from 1 species
UACGAAGGGGACUAGCGUUGUUCGGAAUCACUGGGCGUAAAGCGCACGUAGGCGGAUUCGUAAGUCAGGGGUGAAAUCCCGAGGCUCAACCUCGGAACUGCCUUUGAUACUGGGGAUCUCGAGUCCGGGAGAGGUGAGUGGAACUGCGAGUGUAGAGGUGAAAUUCGUAGAUAUUCGCAAGAACACCAGUGGCGAAGGCGGCUCACUGGCCCGGAACUGACGCUGAGGUGCGAAAGCGUGGGGAGCAAACAGG